rnacentral:lncRNA from 1 species
CGUUGAGGGAUCUUAUAUAUAUAGGAUCGCUUUCGGUCAAACUUUUACUUUGCAUUUUAUUUUCUGCUGCAGAAACUCUACCGGAAAGUCGCCCCAGUGCCAGAAGACCAGGGUUCCUUCUCUGCCUUUUUGUUUUUAAUUUUUAGGUUAGGUAUUUUUGUCAUUCCUUCUUGGAUCCAUCUCUUUUUUGUUCUCUUUAGUCUUCUUCUCCCAUGGCUAGG